AUGUGGCUCAAGUGGUAGCAAGCUCGCCUGGCAUGCGCGCGGCGCUGGGUUCGAUCCUCAGCACCACAUA
rnacentral:tRNA from 1 species